rnacentral:rRNA from 1 species
GUGGGGAAUAUUGGACAAGGGGGGCAACCCUGAUCCAGCAAUGCCGCGUGAGUGAGGAAGGCCUUCGGGUUGUAAAGCUCUGUCGGAGGGGACGAAAAUACUGACGGUUAAUAGCCGUCGGAACUGACGGUACCCUCAAAGGAAGCACCGGCUAACUUCGU